GAAGUGCCGAUGAUGACUAUCUUAUUGUACUUUUUGAUGAACCUUGAGAAUUUGUUAUCCUAUGUCUGAGGUGCUUU
rnacentral:snoRNA from 1 species